GACGAACGCUGGCGGCGUGCUUAACACAUGCAAGUCGAACGGAGCGAAUGAAAGCUUGCUUUUAUAAGCUUAGUGGCAAACGGGUGAGUAACACGUAGGCAACCUGCCGACAGGAUGGGGACAACAUUCCGAAAGGAAUGCUAAUACCGAAUGAAGUCGAGGGAGGGCAUCCUCCUCCGAUGAAAAGAUGGCCUCUAUAUAUAAGCUAUCACCUGUCGAUGGGCCUGCGUCUGAUUAGCUGGUAGGUGAGGUAACGGCUCACCUAGGCGACGAUCAGUAGCCGGUCUGAGAGGAUGAACGGCCACAUUGGGACUGAGACACGGCCCAGACUCCUACGGGAGGCAGCAGUGGGGAAUCUUCCGCAAUGGGCGCAAGCCUGACGGAGCAACGCCGCGUGAGUGAAGAAGGUCUUCGGAUCGUAAAGCUCUGUUGAUGGGGACGAACGUGCCUAAUGCGAAUAGUAUUAGGUAAUGACG
rnacentral:rRNA from 1 species